GAAGAAGGUUAUGCGUAUAUCUUCAAAAGCCCAUUCUGGUUGGAAUGCCGGAUUCCAUGGCUGCAAGAGUUUGCUGCUCAUUGUUCAUGGGUUGCCCGCUUACCGUCAGUACACAAGCCUCCUUUCACAUAUAAGAUAUUGCCUUCUGAUUUUUUAAGCAAUGGGCCUUCUUUCUGUUGAAACGUUGUAGGUAUUGGUGAGAUGGAUAAUGAAAUGCCAUCUAAUUUCCAAUAUUUUUUUCCCAUCUCAAUUUUGGUCUCAAUAUUUCUUAUUCUGAAAGAGAGAACCAUCCAUUCGAAUUAGGAUAUGGCUUGUUGAAUAAUCUUUGAUUUAACUGGUUUCAGUAGCUAGGGAAAGUUCUGUCGCUUUUAAACCUCUUUUUCCAAUGAUUUAAGAAAGUAGAGGCAUUGUCUGUAUUGAUCAUUUUGGAUUAAAGAUCAGGCAACAACAACUCGUAGGUUGUUUUAUUUGCAUAUUUUAUUUGCUUUCAGGUUGGAGUUAGGAAACAAUAGAGAUGGGUAGGUAGAUUCAGUGAGGAAAUGUAGGUUUGAUCCCAAAGCAAUGGUGUCCGGUUUUGGUGAUUGCUAUUGAUUUCAUAACAGGUUUAGCAGUGUUACUGUGUGGUUCACAAAAGUGAUAAUCUUAAUAGGCUAGGUAGAUUUUUAUUUUUUCCCCUCACCGAUUCCCCUUUCCCUCUUACCCAACCUUUUCUUUCCCACACCUCUCCUCACCUACCCAACAUCUCCAUCGUCCUCUCUAAUCAAAACAUUGAAGCUUCACAAUAACCCUCACUUUGUCAGCUCAUCUCCUUCUCUUUCUGUUUUGAUUAUAUGAGUGAUGGUGUUAAUACCAACAAGUGUUACAACGCCGUCCUGAUUUAUAUAAGCUCCGUUGUCUCCAUCUCCGGUGGCCGCUUGAGCCUCAUAAAAAAAGACUCCUAGCCCACUUCAUAUCCACAUGCCACCUCAAAUAACGACUGGAUGGCCUCAUCGGAAGCUUCGCCCCGCAGAUGCAUUUGUACGGUCCAAUACCAUGAUUCAUGGAUCCUGCACUGUUGACGCCCAUACUUGCUCUCUCGUUUUAAAUGCUUGUGUUUAGCUUCUUUUGAGUCUCUCCAGUUGCAUUCCCGUAUUGUGCCCAAUGGGUUCAUGGGUGUUGCUUUGUUGGUACUAUCUUGUUACAUUCGGUUUGCAGAAGUUGGUGAUUUUGAUAAUGCAGAGAGGUGUUUGAUGAAAUGGUAAAGAGAGAUUGCAUUAUGGAAUGUGUUGAUUUUGGCUUUGCUCAAGGAAGUGAGUCUACUGAAGUUUUGGCUUUGUUUAAGAGAAUGGAGGUUAGGGGGUUAAAGUUAGUAGGUUCAAGUGAUGGCCUAUCAGAUUUAGUACCGAUACAUGGAGAAAACUGGGGUUGAGGGGCGACGGGUGAUGAGAAAAUAUUGGGAGGGAUUGUUCUUGUCGUUCUAUUAUCAGAUUCUCUCUCUCUCUUUUUCUAUUGAUGUGUUGAAUUUCAAAUUAAAUUAUAUUAAUUAUGGUGAUACUUGAAUUAAAAUUUUGUAAUUUACUAAGAUAGUG
rnacentral:misc_RNA from 1 species